AACGCACAAGACGCAAUCGUGUGAGCGGUGUAGUUUCGGCACACAUCGAGAGGCGCACAAGCAUUCACCUCACUCACUCGCAUGAUCGCUGACACACACGCACACGCAAACACUCAAGAAAGGCAGCGACAUGUGCGCGAGCCCCUCAGCGACGGUGCACGUGCCCACCGUGUACGACUUGAUGCAUGAGCAGUCCCGAAGCAUCGGUGCGUUCGCCUCUACAGAGCUGGAGAAUGUCUACAGCUUGUCGGCACACAUGUCAGCGGCGCGCCAUGCCACGUCGCCUUCCUCCGCCACGCGAAGCCUCGCGGACUUCCUCGACGACAUCUUCUUCUCCUACACCGGGGUGCCAUCGUGGUCAACCUUUCUCCACAUCCAGCAGGAGGGGGCAGCGCUGCGGCGCCAGCUCGGCGCCGGCGCCACCUUUGCGCACGAAGCCGUGCAUCCGUCGCUAUCGCCCGCUCUGAAGCAGUGGGCCCAGGCACUUCGAAGCCAGCGGGCGGCGCGUGCACGCGCCAUUGGCGCCGGCGACUCUCCUCGCAGCACCAUAGUCGUGAGCGCUGCCGCUCCGCGCGGCGCGACGUCGGCAGGAAAGCUGCCCUUCAGAUCUGAGUCGAGCGCCUCGGCUACUGCUGCUGAUCCUGCUGCCACACUGAACCACAAUGCAACGAAGUCCGUGGCUCUCAUGACCGCCGGCGCCUCCGAGGAUCUAGACAGCUCCUCCUCGCUGAUGGAGCGGGAGUUGGCGGCGGAGAACGCACGCGCGCACCUCCCAGCCGAGGAGGACGGCGUGCUGCCUUUAUGGAGGGACUUGAAGCUGACAAAGCGCUGCGGCCCGCUUGCGCUGCAGGGCUUGCGGGCGGCUGUCGGCGCCUACUACCUGGCGCUACUGCGCCUCGUGGACAUUGCCGAGUCGCUGGCCGAUCAUUGGGGGCUUCUCUCGCCCAAGGAGCUGAAGGGGCUGCACCGUGCCAUGGCCGCUGAGAAGGCUGCGCACGUACCGCCUAGCUUCCUCUUCUCUGUCUUCACGGAGCUGAACGCGUCGGGGGAGCGCCUGAGCAACGCCGUGGCGGAUCUCCGCAAGUGCACUCGCCUGGAGACGGUUCGGCUCAACGGCAACGCAGCACUGACAGAGCUGAACGUGCUGCCGCCUCACUGCCGCGUCGUAACCGCGUGCGGAUGCAGCCUUGGUUGCUUUCUCGAGGAGGCGCGUUCGACGCCGCCGUCGCCGCCCUCGGCAGCGCCGCGUGGCGUAUACGCAUUGGUGACGACACUGGGGCUCGCCUAUAACCGCCUGCGGCACCUACACUUCGUACAGCAGCUACCCUCUCUGCGCGUUCUGAACAUGUCCUUCAAUUACGUGAGUGAUUUGGAGGCUGCGGUGCGGGAUGUGGCCGCGCACGGGUCACUGACGGAAGUGACGCUGCAGGGCAACCCUAUUUCGCUUUUGGAUGCUUACCGCACUGUCUUGGUGCGUGGCUGCGUGCACCUCGACCGACUCGACGGGGUCGCCGUCACCGGGGAGGAGCGAGCCUUGAGCUGCCCGGCCGUCGACGACGGGGACGCCGCUCAGGAGGACUCGCCGGGGCGGCCUUUGCUCGACAGCGCACUUGCCGGUGCUGCGAGGAAGCCAUCUUGUACGGCGCUGCCUAACAUCUGCGGGCGGCUUCGAUUGAACGUGGCCGCCUCUCCGGCCCCGCCUUCGCCGCAGCACAACCCGUCGACACGAGGCUGCGUGACUUUCGGAGCUCCUCCCAUCUCCAAAUCGAAGUUGGUAGUGUCCAUGGUGGGCUCGCAGCCACCUGUGUCAGAUGAGGUGCUGCGGACAACCGUGGCGGCAGGGCUGGAUUUGGUCAUGGUGAGAGGUCUGGCCAGUCUCCAGCCCGUGCCACAGACUUGCCUGGCAGAUAGCUUGCUGCCCUCCUCCGGCUUCUUGCUUGAGCUAGCAGGAGUAGAUACAUCGGCGAAGGCAUCGGUGCCGAGCGGCGGCUGCGCCUCGCCUAUACAGGCGAGCUCACUCGUCACGUCACCACUGGCAUCUCCUCGCACCUCCUCUGUGCAGGCAGGCAGCCGCAAGGGCCGCCACCAUGGCGGGGCGGCCGGGGACAGCGGUGGCAGAGGCGUCUCUGCCAACGGCAGUUCCACAAACGGAAAGCGAGUCGUGCCGCCGCUGUACGAGGUGUCGUCACGGGUCACGGUGGAGGGCUGCUGGGGCGGCUCCAGCGUCUCAAGUGGCGAUGCGCCACUCGGCAGCGGAGACGGUGUGUGUGUUUCUGUGGAGGUAUGUCUGGAGCCACCCGCUCCCUUAUCCACCUAUUCGGCGGGUCGGCAUGCUGGAGCACCUGGUGCGCCACCACCGCGCGUGCCGUCUGCCGCACAAAGUAGGCAGCGCAGGGCUGGCGGGACCGCGGCUGCCACCAACGGGGAAACGCCGCCACUCCCCAUCCCCGACCCGUACAUCCCGGCCCGCUUCACGGCGGGGGCCGGAGGCGGCGGCGGAGCUUCAUGCGUAGUGAGCCUCCCCGUCACCGAUACCCUCGUCUGCGCUCUUCAGCAGCCGCUAGUGCUGCGGGUCGUGGUGCAAGACACAUUCCGGUUCUCAGAGGGUGAGGCUGCCCUGCGCUCGCAGCUGGACACCUCUACGUCGAGUGCGGCCCGCGGCAGUCCGGUAGGUCGAAGCGGCGCUGGUGCGCGGAGUGCCCCUGGGGAGCUUCCAUCGAACUUAGUGUUACCCUCUGCCUUCUCACUGGGGGAGGCACCGCCGUGGGCAACAUCUUGCCAACGCGGAAGCGAGGAUGCCGAGGAGGAGGAGGCAGUGUUGCACCUGCGACGCGAGCUCGGGGUGAUAACGCUGGACCCCCGCGAUCUUUUCUUGGUGGCUGGCGACAAUCCAGCGACGUGCACAGGGGCGCCUUGCGCUCCCACGCCGCUUCCUCGCUGCCGCGUGCUGUAUGUGCACGAUGCGGCUCUCGAAAGAGACUCGCACACGCUGAAAAGCGCAGAGCGCGAGGUGCGGCAGUGUCAGCGUCGCCUCCGUGAGGCUCUUGCGACCUACUCGGACAUGCACCACCACUACAAGGAGGCAAGUCGCAAGGGCUUGGAAAACCUCGACUCUAUCUCUCCGGCUCCGUCAGCAGCACUCGGUAAGGACAGCGUCGCCACUGGCACGACGUCACCGCAGCCGAACAGACGGCGCACCUCCGUAGCGGUAAACUCCUCUACGGCGGUGCUGCCGCUGCCAUCCGCGUCGUCGAGCAAGCAAUCCGCCCGCUCCCGCCCCGCGAGUGUGUUGACCCCGCCUGCUCACACCUCACAGCUGCAGGGUUUGUAUGCCAGCCUCAAAGCUGAGCAACUCCGCGUGGCUCAGAGAGCCUUACGUGUGCUGGCGCUACGGACGCGACUGGACGAGCUCCGAGGCGCGUCUCUCUCCGUCGGCGUUCGGUUUUGCGUCGGACGUGGCGCGGUGCCGCCGCCGUCGACCGCCGCCGAUGCCGAACUGGAGGCGUUGCGCCACCCCACCGGGUCACCCAAGGGUCGCAAAGGACGCCAGCAGGCCGCCAAAGGAACUCGUCGCUAGACAGCACGAUGGCACACUGACUAGCGGUGGCACUGAAUCGAUUUCGCUGCUGCGUGACAACAUCUUCGCCGACCCCUCCCUCUUUUUCGCUCGAUGUACAGUAGCACGUGGGCGUGCCAAGGCGGACGCACGCCACACUCCGCUCUUUACGUUUCUUUUUUUUUUCCCGAGUUUCUCUUUGACGCCCUGUGAGCCGGCUGGCACAUGCGGGCCGGUAUUUUGACGUGUGAUGGCGACCACCACCGCCCCCUCCUCCCCACCCCUGUUCGACCCUCGAGUCUGACCGAUCCCGUGCUCCUCCCCGCGCUCUCUUCGUGAUGACUGGUCUUUCUCCUUUGGCACGCCCUCUUUUCUAAUGUAAGCCCACUUCUCGGGGUGAAGGCCGCGGGGCGGGCGGGGCGGUGAUGACCAGUUCUCGGGAGAGGGUGCUGGGGAUAGUGGUGGUGGACCCGUGCACACGCACACUCCCACACAUCUGCAUGUGUGUAUAAUAUCUUUGAGGGGCAUAGGGCGAUACAUGGGGUGUGAGGGAGGGGGCGGGCGCGACUGCACGUGAUGCGUGUUGAGGCGGCUGAUGGCGUAUGCACAGCAGCGCGCCCUGGGAGAGGAGGCGAAGCGGAGGGCACAGCUGCAUCCUCUCCUCUCUUUCCGUCGACUUAGCUUCGUUCUUCAUCCGCUCCACACCCGCGCCUGCGCCUCUCUCUGUCAUGGAAAGGAAUCGGGUGCGAGCACGCGGCACUUGCCUUCCUUUCCCCAGAGAGACAAGAACGCGUUACACAACACAAACAUUGGAAGACAAGGAUUAGUGACGCAGGUGCGGUGACAAGAGGAGGAGACGUACCCACAGACCACGACAC
rnacentral:misc_RNA from 1 species